rnacentral:rRNA from 1 species
GAUGAACGCUGGCGGCGUGCCUAAUACAUGCAAGUCGAGCGAACGGACGAGAAGCUUGCUUCUCUGAUGUUAGCGGCGGACGGGUGAGUAACACGUGGAUAACCUACCUAUAAGACUGGGAUAACUUCGGGAAACCGGAGCUAAUACCGGAUGAUAUUUUGAACCGCAUGGUUCAAAAGUGAAAGACGGUCUUGCUGUCACUUAUAGAUGGAUCCGCGCUGCAUUAGCUAGUUGGUAAGGUAACGGCUUACCAAGGCAACGAUGCAUAGCCGACCUGAGAGGGUGAUCGGCCACACUGGAACUGAGACACGGUCCAGACCCCUACGGGAGGCAGCAGUAGGGAAUCUUCCGCAAUGGGCGAAAGCCUGACGGAGCAACGCCGCGUGAGUGAUGAAGGUCUUCGGAUCGUAAAACUCUGUUAUUAGGGAAGAACAUAUGUGUAAGUAACUGUGCACAUCUUGACGGUACCUAAUCAGAAAGCCACGGCUAACUACGUGCCAGCAGCCGCGGUAAUACGUAGGUGGCAAGCGUUAUCCGGAAUUAUUGGGCGUAAAGCGCGCGUAGGCGGUUUUUUAAGUCUGAUGUGAAAGCCCACGGCUCAACCGUGGAGGGUCAUUGGAAACUGGAAAACUUGAGUGCAGAAGAGGAAAGUGGAAUUCCAUGUGUAGCGGUGAAAUGCGCAGAGAUAUGGAGGAACACCAGUGGCGAAGGCGACUUUCUGGUCUGUAACUGACGCUGAUGUGCGAAAGCGUGGGGAUCAAACAGGAUUAGAUACCCUGGUAGUCCACGCCGUAAACGAUGAGUGCUAAGUGUUAGGGGGUUUCCGCCCCUUAGUGCUGCAGCUAACGCAUUAAGCACUCCGCCUGGGGAGUACGACCGCAAGGUUGAAACUCAAAGGAAUUGACGGGGACCCGCACAAGCGGUGGAGCAUGUGGUUUAAUUCGAAGCAACGCGAAGAACCUUACCAAAUCUUGACAUCCUUUGACAACUCUAGAGAUAGAGCCUUCCCCUUCGGGGGACAAAGUGACAGGUGGUGCAUGGUUGUCGUCAGCUCGUGUCGUGAGAUGUUGGGUUAAGUCCCGCAACGAGCGCAACCCUUAAGCUUAGUUGCCAUCAUUAAGUUGGGCACUCUAAGUUGACUGCCGGUGACAAACCGGAGGAAGGUGGGGAUGACGUCAAAUCAUCAUGCCCCUUAUGAUUUGGGCUACGCACGUGCUACAAUGGACAAUACAAAGGGCAGCGAAACCGCGAGGUCAAGCAAAUCCCAUAAAGUUGUUCUCAGUUCGGAUUGUAGUCUGCAACUCGACUACAUGAAGCUGGAAUCGCUAGUAAUCGUAGAUCAGCAUGCUACGGUGAAUACGUUCCCGGGUCU